rnacentral:rRNA from 1 species
GUGCAGCAGUCGCGAAACCUUUGCAAUACACGCAAGUGUGACAGGGUCAUCCCGAGUGCCGACCGCUGAGGUUGGCUUUUACCCAGUCUAGAAAGCUGGGGGAAUAAGGAGAGGGCAAGUCUGGUGUCAGCCGCCGCGGUAAUACCAGCUCUCCGAGUGGUGUGGACGUUUAUUGGGCCUAAAGCAUCCGUAGCUGGCUGAACAAGUCCCCUGUUAAACCCACCGAUUUAAUCGUUGGCUUGCGGGGGAUACUGCUCGGCUAGGGGACGAGAGAGGCAGACGGUAUUCCCGGGGUAGGGGUGAAAUCCUAUAAUCCCGAGAAGACCACCAGUGGCGAAGGCUGUCUGCUAGAACGCGCCCGACGGUGAGGGAUGAAAGCUGGGGGAGCGAACCGGAUUAGAUACCCGGGUAGUCC